UGGUUCCUUUCCCCUGUUAUGCUUCGAUCCUCUCUCCUCCAAGGCUCUUCAAUGGCUGACUAGUGGACUCAAUUGGCUAGUUUUGUGGAGGAAGAUAGUCAUGAUCAAAGUCAACUGGUGCUGAUGGCCUUCCUUUUGUGGGGGGAAGAGUUGAAACAAUCUUGUUUUCAGAAAUGAAAGGAUGGAUCUUCGCCAUGUGAUCCGUAGAGUAUGGGGAUUUUAUUUCUACACUUGGUUCUGUCUCAUUGCCUUAAACGGAAAUCCAUCUUCCUUCAACAUGGUCAUCUCCUCCGCACUAGAGGGUGAAGGUAAAUUUUGAUGGAGCUGUUAAUAUGAAGGAAUGUAUUCAAAAUUAUGUGGCGGGAGUUUUUGUUAGUAGUUAGGCACAUGGGCUGAGUUGGAGCUAAAAAGUUACGG
rnacentral:misc_RNA from 1 species